rnacentral:rRNA from 1 species
GUCUACGGCCAUGGCACCCUUAAUGUGCCCGAUCCCGUCUGAUCUCGGAAGCUAAGCAGGGUCGGGCCUGGUAGGUACUUGGAUGGGAGACCACCUAGGAAGACCAGGUGCUGUAGGCA